rnacentral:rRNA from 1 species
GAGAAUUUAAGCCCCAGUAAACGGCGGUGGUAACUAUAACCAUCCUAAGGUAGCGAAAUUCCUUGUCGGGUAAGUUCCGACCUGCACGAAUGGCGUAACGACUUCUCAGCUGUCUCAACCAUAGACUCGGCGAAAUUGCAUUACGAGUAAAGAUGCUCGUUACGCGCGGCAGGACGAAAAGACCCCGGGACCUUCACUACAACUUGGUAUUGGUGCUCGAUUCGGUUUGUGUAGGAUAGGUGGGAGACUGUGAAACUCACACGCCAGUGUGGGUGGAGUCGUUGUUGAAAUACCACUCUGAUCGUAUUGGGCCUCUAACCUCGAACCGUCUAUCCGGUUCAGGGACAGUGCCUGGCGGGUAGUUUAACUGGGGCGGUUGCCUCCUAAAAAGUAACGGAGGCGCCCAAAGGUUCCCUCAACCUGGACGGCAAUCAGGUGUUGAGUGUAAGUGCACAAGGGAGCUUGACUGCGAGACGAACAUGUCAAGCAGGGACGAAAGUCGGGACUAGUGAUCCGGCACCCCCGAGUGGAAGGGGUGUCGCUCAACGGAUAAAAGGUACCCCGGGGAUAACAGGCUGAUCUUCCCCAAGAGUCCAUAUCGACGGGAUGGUUUGGCACCUCGAUGUCGGCUCGUCGCAUCCUGGGGCUGGAGCAGGUCCCAAGGGUUGGGCUGUUCGCCCAUUAAAGCGGCACGCGAGCUGGGUUUAGAACGUCGUGAGACAGUUCGGUCUCUAUCCGCCGCGCGCGUCAGAAGCUUGAGGAAACCUGUCCCUAGUACGAGAGGACCGGGACGGACGAACCUCUGGUACACCAGUUGUCCCACCAGGGGCACCGCUGGAUAGCCACGUUCGGACAGGAUAACCGCUGAAAGCAUCUAAGCGGGAAACCCCCUCCAAGACCAGGCUUCUCACCCAUACAAGUGGGAUAAGGCCCCCCGCAGACCACGGGAUCGAUAGACCAGACCUACACACCCAGCAAUGGGCGCAGGGAACUGGCACUAACCGGCCGAAAACUUACACACAC